rnacentral:rRNA from 1 species
AUUGAACGCUGGCGGCAGGCUUAACACAUGCAAGUCGAGCGAGCGGCGGACGGGUGAGUAAUGUCUGGGAAACUGCCUGAUGGAGGGGGAUAACUACUGGAAACGGUAGCUAAUACCGCAUACCAUCAGAUGUGCCCAGAUGGGAUUAGCUAGUAGGUGGGGUAAUGGCUCACCUAGGAGACGAUCCCUAGCUGGGCUGAGAGGCGGACCAGCCACAAUGGAACGGAGAACCGGUCCAGACUCCUACGGGAGGCAGAAGUGGGGAAUAUUGGACAAUGGGCGAAAGCCUGAUCCAGCCAUGCCGCGUGUGUGAAGAAGGUCUUCGGAUUGUAAAGCACUUUAAGUUGGGAGGCGUUACCAACAGAAUAAGCACCGGCUAACUUCGUGCCAGCAGCCGCGGUAAUAC